CUGAGUUUCACAACUCUCCAACCCUGUGUAAAACUUGAAGUCUGGUUGCUCAGGCAGGCGGUCCCCCGGGGGGGACCGCAGCCUCGACGAGGCGCCUGCCGGAGGAUACCUAAAACUCGUUUUUUAUCAGUGAUAUUCUGAGUAACAAAAACAAAUGAAUCA
rnacentral:misc_RNA from 1 species